UACGAAGGGGGCUAGCGUUGCUCGGAAUCACUGGGCGUAAAGGGUGCGUAGGCGGGUCUUUAAGUCAGGGGUGAAAUCCUGGAGCUCAACUCCAGAACUGCCUUUGAUACUGAAGAUCUUGAGUUCGGGAGAGGUGAGUGGAACUGCGAGUGUAGAGGUGAAAUUCGUAGAUAUUCGGAGGAACACCAGUGGCGAAGGCGGCUCACUGGUCCAUUACUGACGCUGAGGCGCGACAGCGUGGGGAGCAAACAGG
rnacentral:rRNA from 1 species